GUCUACAGUCAUACCACUCUGGACAUGCCCAAUCUCAUCUGACCCAGGAAGCUAAGUAGAGUUGGGUCUGGUUAGUAUGCAGAUGAGAAACUGCAAGAGCACUAUAUAGU
rnacentral:rRNA from 1 species